CUGGCCCCCCGCCCCCCGGGAGGGGUUGCACAAAAACACCGCCAGACCUAACCCAAGCACCAACCUACACCACAGCCUAACCGCAAGAACCACCACCACCACGCACCAGAAAGGAAAACACCAGAGCUACCAACACUCGACCCGCCGUACCCCACCCCACCCCCACAAGUCGGUUGCUUGAGCAACACCCCAGGAGAACCGGCAGAGGAGACACAAGCAGAAAACUAACCGGGCCAGAUGUGGCGCUGACUAAGCGGGCUCCAGCCCGCUGCAAGACGCGCUGUGCAGGAAGGCCCACAGCCGCCCAGGCGCUGCGAUGCCAGCCAUAGCUAAAACACAUGGGCGCCAGAUAAGCUGAUGACGAUAAAAUGCCACGCCAGCGCCUGGAAAGAAACGCCGCCCAAAAGGAAACCUAGGGGGCCUGCACAGGUGAUGCAAGCGUCAGCCGCAAGUUCAACUUCGGUGACCCACCCUGAACCUCCUCCACUUCACAAAGCGCGCCACCCGCCGACCAGAUGGCAACAAAGUGCUCCAGCUUAGCCGCCUUGAGCUGUGCGGUGAGAAGCUGAGUGGGCAGAGCCGACAGGGUUUCAGGGGUUAGCGUGGCGGCAGUGAAACGCAGCUGCAUCACCCUGCGCAGCUCGCUGACCACCUCCCGAACCACAUGCUCCGACGUCUGCUUAGCAGGCUCGCGGGACCAGUACGCACACCAGACGGCGUACAAGAAGGUGGCCCGCAAAGUGCUCCACAGCAGCGCGCCCGCCCCCCGCGGGCCUGAGGCCCACAUACCCAUGCGGUCCCCCAGCAUGAAGCCCACGUCCGUCACUGGCGCGGCCGCUGCCUGGGGCGCAACGCAGGCCCACAGCUGCUGCAGCCACGUCCUCGCCUGCGCAUAAGCUGGACACUCCAGGAAGAUGUGCGUUAGGCUGGCCCACGCCCGCGGGCCAGGUGGCCCGCAGGCGGGGUGAGGACAGUGCGCCCCCAACCCCCCGCACCCCGUGGUCACCCGUGGCCGAAUGCCCUUGCCCGCCCUGUACAGCCCGCAAGGCAGGUAAGCAUGUUGCAGCCGGUACACCAGGACCUUUGCCCCCCGACUGGCGUGGCUGUCCCACAGCCUCCGCCACGUACCCCGCAGAAGGGACGCAUCCGGGGGCGGCAUGCGAGGGUCGCCCUCCACCGCCGCCGCUGCUGCCGCCGCCGCCGUGGCAGGCCCAGUGCUAGGUCCCGCCCCUCCCGCCGCCUGCUCCUGCAGCCGCGCGGACCGCCGCGGCCCCUCACUGCUGGGACGGGGACGCAUACGACUGCAGUUCUCUCGCCGGCGUGUUCUGCAGCCCGGCUGCCGCGGAGGUGCGGUGGAGCCAGGGGUCCAGAGCCACCGGGUUAUUGUGGAAAUGCUGCGCCGCCGUGGUGGUCAGCUGCACCGCUGCACGCUGCCACUCCGCCUCCCACUCCGCCAGCCGCGACUGAGCCGCCGGCUGGGGCCCCGAAUCCCCCGCCUGCUGUGCUGGCGCCGGGCACGGCAUGGCUGCGGGGCGGGCCGGAGCCAGAGGGGCGGCCGGGUUGGCCGCGGUGAUGGCCCGCCGCACGUCCCGCACCGUGUAGUCCGCCAAGCUGACACCCGCAAUCCGGCAGUGCUCCGGGUGCACCACCACCCCAGCCUCCGGCGCCAGGAAGUACGGCGCCCGAGGCCACGCCCCUGCCCGUUCCCCUGGUGAUGCUGCAUCGUACGCCGCCCGCUCUUCAAAGGUCCACAGGUGCCGCGGCUUGCGGUGCUGCAGCACACAGGCAGGCUGCCACGCCCCAUCCACUGCCGGGGGCAGCACGCGAGGCCCAGGCUCCAAGAGCCGCCCCGUGUAGUGGACGUAGGACACAGCCCCCGCAGCGUUAGCCACCCACAGCUGGUCCAGGCUAACCCGCCACUGUGCCCACGCCGUGACGCCGCCGCGCCAGGGCCACCGCCCGCCCCGUCCUGCCCCCCCCGCGUGGCCAGGACCACAACCUGGGAGCCGGUCCGGGGCCUGGGCGACUGCCCCUGGCGCUGCAGUUCCUGCUGCUGCUGUUGCUGUAACCGCCGUUUCUGCUGGAGAUUGAGGUCCGCCAGCUCGGCCAAGUACCGCCGCAUCACAGCGGUCUGCUCCUGAUCCUGCCCGGCGGCGGCCCGCUGAUCCAAGGGCGGCCGUGGCGCGGGAGCGCCACUGUGCUGCUGCAGCACGCCAGCCGGCCCAGCACCGGCAGGGCGAGGCCUGGCCGCCGGCGGCCCCCCCACGCCUUCCGCCGGCUGGACCCCGCUAAGCCCUCCCGUUGCCACCCGCUGCUGCGAAGAGGGCUGCUGCUGCAGCGCGGCCCGCAGGGCAGCCGCAGCAGCACGGUUGCUUCCCCCCGCCACCAGAACUGGCAGCAGGGGUGGGGCCCCGCUGAGUGGCCCACUGGCGCCACCAGCUGCCUGGAGUGUCCAGCUUAUGCGCAGGCGAGGACGUGGCUGCAGCAGCUGUGGGCCUGCGUUGCGCCCCCCCGCCACCAGAACUGGCAGCAGGGGUGGGGCCCCGCUGAGUGGCCCACUGGCGCCACCAGCUUCCUGGAGUGUCCAGCUUAUGCGCAGGCGAGGACGUGGCUGCAGCAGCUGUGGGCCUGCGUUGCGCCCCAGGCAGCGGCGCCGCCAAUGACGGACGCGGGCUUCAUGCUGGGGGACCGCAUGGGUGUGUGGACCUCAGGCCCGCGGGGGGCGGGUGCGCUGCUGUGGAGCACUUUGCGGGCCACCUUCUUAUACGCCGUCUGGUGUGCGUACUGGUCCCGCGAGCCUGCUAAGCAGACGUCGGAGCAUGUGGUUCGGGAGGUGGUCAGCGAGCUGCGCAGGGUGAUGCAGCUGCGUUUCACUGCCGCCACGCUAACCCCUGAAACCCUGUCGGCUCUGCCCACACAGCUUCUCACCGCACAGCUCAAGGCGGCUAAGCUGGAGCACUUUGUUGCCAUCUGGUCGGCGGGUGGCGCGCUUUGUGAAGUGGAGGAGGUUCAGGGUGGGUCACCGAAGUUGAACUUGCGGCUGACGCAUGCAUCACCUGUGCAGGCCCCCUAGGUUUCCUUUUGGGCGGCGUUUCUUUCCAGGCGCUGGCGUGGCAUUUUAUCGUCAUCAGCUUAUCUGGCGCAGUGGCGCCCAUGUGUUUUAGCUAUGGCUGGCAUCGCAGCGCCUGGGCGGCUGUGGGACUUCCUGCACAGCGCGUCUUGCAGCGGGCUGGAGCCCGAUUAGUCAGCGCCACAUCUGGCCCGUUUAGUUUUCUGCUUGUGUCUCCUCUGCCAGUUCUCCUGGGGUGUUGCUCAAGCAACCGACUUGUGGGGGUGGGGUGGGUUACGGCGGGUCGAGUGAUGGUAGCACUGGUGUUUUCCUUUCUGGCGCGCGGUGGUGGUGGUUCUUGCGGUUAGGCUGUGGUGUAGGUUGGUGCUUGGGUUAGGUCUGGCGGUGUUUUUUGUGCAACCCCUCCCGGGGGGCGGGGGGGCCAGCCUCCUGCUCUGUCUGCCGGGUCGGGGUGGGGUGGGGUGGGAUGGAUGGGGGUGGUUGGUGGCGGUUUCGAGGUGUUUGCUUUCUGUUUUCUUCUCUUUUCUUCUCUUCUUGCCCUGUCAGGGUUCUGGUCUCGGGGACCAGGCUGCUUUCAGGCAGCAGGGGGGCAGCGCGUCUGCCCCUGUUCAACCUUGUAAGGAUGAUUCCUCAAAAAAAAAAGCCGCCGCGUCACCCAAACCCACCGCCUCCUGCAUCUGCACGUCCCCCACGUGGUCAACGAUGUCCGCUGCGGUCGCCAUGGCAGCCGCGGGCCUCACACCACCCAAGGUGUUGCCACCCAGGUCGGCGACCCCGGCUGCAGCCGGAGCAGGGCUGCCUGCCGCAGCUGUCAUGGCUGUCCCAGCCGCCUGGGGGGCGCCACGGACCUCCACCUGCAUGGGCUCCUCACCGGGCAUCUCAAACUUGGCACAAUGCAGGUGAGAGAGCUGCGGGUCCCAGAUGGGGCCCCGCACACAGGCAAAGACGUGGUUGGUGAUGCCCUGGCCUGCGGGGGCCUGGGGCUCCCCCUUGGGGCCCACCGAUUUGGCGCACUGCUCUGAGACCACAUAAGCACACGCCAGGUUAGAGGGGUCUGAGGUGGUGGGAUAGCCGCCCGCCUGCAGCACCAAAUUGGUGCGACCGCGGAAAGCCCCCCACACAGGGCCCCCUACCAUCUUGACCGUGACGGUGUAGGUGCCCGGAAUGAUGGGCCGGGUGUCCACUGGCACAUGAACCGUGAGGACAGCCUGACCGCGCUGGAGCGGUACCGCCAGCGGCGACUUGCGCAUGAGCUCCGCUGUGAAGGCUGCUUUGCUGGCGCUGGUCGCGCGCCGGCUGAAGGCCAGCCCCGCAAACGUGCGGGAGGGGCGGCCUGUGCUGUGCAGAGAGUGGCCCUGCAAGAGCUGCGGCUGGUUGCCCUGCCUGCACAUGGUGUCCAGCACUGACAGGGCAGCACUGGUCACCUCCCGGACGCCGGCUGAGGACAGCUGCUCGCCCUCUGGGAGCCCCGUGGUGGCACCCACCAGAAGGACUGGGUAUGUAGGCAGGCUGGGGCCCUGAGGCUGCGUCGUCAGGUCCUGCACGCCGUGCGCCACGCUAUGCGUGGACAGGGCAAGGUGGAGCUGCAGCCCGGGGCUGAAGAACGGGCUGGCAGUGUUGCCCCCACCUGCAGGGGUGCGGUCCGCUGCCAAGUCUGGCAGUGGGCGGCGAUGCCCAAACGCAGGCCCCCCACACGGCACGGCAUGUGCUGCUGUGGCCGCGCCGUGGGCGUGUGUGCUGCAUGGCUGGUGUUGGCCCCUGGUGUCUUGGCUGCGCUGAGACACCAGGCGGAACCGACCAGGAUCACCCAGCAACUGCAUAGCUACCCAAGAUCAGCACUCACAGGGCAUCACAGCAGGGCGGGCGCCAGGCAGCCGGGCGCCAGGCAACAAGGGCACGAAGACGAGCCACACCCCAAAAAAACAGCCAAGUGCUGCAGGGCUCCCCCAACCGCCACACCCAAAGCACCCUGCUUGCACGCGCGGAUGCAAAUGACCAACCACAAAGGUUGAUACGCCGCCUGCUCCAAGCUGGUGAAGUGUGGUGCUCGCCGAGAUGUUAAAAUGCCGACAAGCGAAAUGUCGCCAACUCCACGGCGACGCUCCUGAACCGCCAGAAUCCUAUUCCAUAGCGGUGUCGAAUUCCAAAGCACAAGCCGGCAUAGGCUGAAGAACGCUGGAGAGGGAGUGUCACGCUACAGCUGCAAAGUGGACUGACCAAAAACGAGCACGCCCACAAAUGCAAACUGCUUCACAGUGGUUCGUAGGCCUUAAGAAGCCUAAUACAAAAGGAAGCAAGUCGAACAGCGCGAGAGAAAUGACGUCGACUGUUUCAAAGCUGUGCAGAAGGAAAGGAGGAUGCAAGAAUAGCAAGAGAAGAGAGUAAAGUAAAGUAAAGUAAAGUCAGCGGGUGUCAACCACGUCGACCUGCCUGCGUUCCUGUCUGCCCUGCAAGCUAAGAUUUUCACCCUCCUUUCGCCCUGCCAGUUCUGGUGGUGGGGGGAAGCAACCGUGCUGCUGCGGCUGCCCUGCGGGCCGCGCUGCAGCAGCAGCCCUCUUCACAGCAGCGGGUGGCAACUAGAGGGCUUAGCGGGGUCCAGCCAGCGGCAGGCGUGGGGGGGCCGCCGGCGGCCAGGCCUCGCCCUGCCGGUGCUGGGCCGGCUGGCGUGCAGCAGCAGCACAGUGGCGCUCCCGCGCCACAGCCGCCCUUGGAUCAGCGGGCCGCCGCUGGGCAGGAUCAGGAGCAGACCGCUGGGAUGCGGCGGUACUUGGCCGAGCUGGCGGACCUCAAUCUCCAGCAGAAACGGCGGUUACAGCAACAGCAGCAGCAGGAACUGCAGCGCCAGGGCAGUCGCCCAGGCCCCGGACCGGCUCCCAGGUUGUGGUCCUGGCCACGCGUGGGGGGGCAGGACGGGGCGGGCGGUGGCCCUGGCGCGGCGGCGUCACGGCGUGGGCAAUGUGUUGACAUAGUUGACCACGUGGGGGACGUGCAGAUGCAGGAGGCGGCGGGUGUGGGUGACACAGCGGCUGCCGCUGGUGGCGCCCGCGGACCACCCGUUGUGGCCUCGCCCUCGCUGCCAGCUCUGGUGGCGGGGGGAAGCACCCGCCAAAAAAAAAAAAAAACCCGUGCUGCUGCGGCUCCCCGGGGGGCCGAGCGGCAGCAGCAGCCCUCUUCACAGCAGCGGGUGGCAGCGGGAGGGCUUAGCAGGGGGCAGCCAUCGGCAGGUGUGGGGGGGCCGCCGGCGGCCAGGCGUCGCACUGCCGAUGCUGGGCCGGCUGGCAAGCAGCAGCAGCCCAGUGGGGCUCCCGCGGCACAGCCGCCCUUUGAUCAGCGGGCAGCCGCCAGGCAGGAUAAGCAGCUGGCAGCUGCGAUGCAGCGGUACUUGGCCUACAUGGCGGACCUCCAUCUCCAGCAGCAACGGCGGGUACAGCAACAGCAGCAGCAGGAGCAGCAGCGCCAGGUGCAGCCGCCCAGGCUCCGGACCGGCUCCCGGUUUGGGGUCCUGGCCACGCUGGGGGGACAGGAUGGGGCAGGCGAUGGCGCGGCCGCGGCGGCGUCCGGGCAUGGGCGACGGGUGCAACCAGCCGCGCACGCACCGCCGCCGCGGCCGCAGCAACAGCCCAGCUCCAAAGGGCGCUGUGGCCCCGCCCAGCUCCCGCAGCAGAAAGCAGGGCGCUUGGGCGGCGGGCUGCCUCCCCCGCAGGAUGGUGAUAGCUCGCCGCCGCGCGUGCCCACUGGGCGGCAGGCCGGGGGACAGCAGGCUGGUGGGGGCAGCGGGUCGGGGCGCCAGGGUGGAGGAGCGGGGCGGGCAGUGCCCCAGGCGCCGCCCCAGGUGGGGCCGCCACUGCAGACGUCACAACCGGCGGGUGGUGGUAAGGACAGGGGCAGGGGCCUGGGCGCGCCGGCUGGGGUUUUGGCCGACACGGCUGGGCGCGCUGGUGGGGGCGCGGGCAGUGAGGCGGAGUAUGGGGCCAUUUGCCUGAAUCGUGACACGUGUGUUGCCAUCGGCUCUGACCUCGUGACGCACCAGAACCGCUGCGCAGAUGUGCAGGGGUAUGAGUGGACGCAGCUUGGCCGCGAUGCGCUUGGUGGCCGCCUCCUCGCCUACCUCCGUGACCAGGGCGCCACCGUACCGGACUGGGCCGUCUGCCGCGUGCCGGCCGGCCGUACCGCCGUCCUGGCACAGCUGCACGACGAGUUCACUGGCUGGUGGCGCCUAUACUCAGCCCAGCCUGCAGACACGCCCCUGCCUUCCGACGUGACGGAGCAGCUGGAUGACACCGCGCAGCAGGUGCAGACGGCCUACAUGGACUACGUGCUCCUAGACGCCCGCACCCUGCGGUCCGCUAAGCGUGGGCCGCCGGCGGACCAUCUACAAGGGCAAAAGCCUGGACCGCGCCGAGCUGGCGUCCUACCGGCCCAUCACGCUGCUCAACUGCGACUUCAAGAUGGUGUCCAAGGCCGUCAGUGCCCGCCUGCAGCCCGCCCUGGAUGCAGUUGUGGAUGAGCUGCAGACCGCGUUCAUCACCGGCCACUGGAUUGGAGACAACGCGCUGUACUUCCAAGGCCUGAUCGAAUGGAUGCGCCUGGACGUGGGCGCGGACGGCACGCCACGGCAGGGUGGUGCGCUGUACUUCUUGGACAUUGAAAAGGCGUAUGACCGGGUGCACCGGCAGUGGCUGUAUGCGUCCGCGGAGGGACUUGGGUUUGGGCCGCGCAUGCUGCGCUGGAUCCGCCUGCUCACUGCCAACGGCUCUGCCUGCGUGUGUGUGAACGGGAUGCUCUCUGACGCCUUCCCAGUGCUGAACGGCUUGCCGCAGGGCAGCACCGCCUCACCACCCCUGUGGGUCAUUCAGAUGCAGCCACUGACAUCCUUUCUGCGGCGGCAGGUGGAGCAAGGGGCACUGCGCACGCCCCUGUUACCCAGCGGCAAGCAGGCGCCACCUGCUGCCCACCACGCUGACGACACGACCCUCACGGCGCGCGACCCGGCGGUGGACGGGCCGGUCCUGAUGGCGGCAGUACAGCUGUUCUGCCGCGCGUCCAACGCCCGUGUCCAUCCGGACAAGAGCAAGGCCAUGGGCCUUGGCAGGUUUGCGCACCUGACGGGCCCUUGCCCACACACGGGGGUGCCGUUUACCACUGGCGCCGUGACGCACCUGGGUGUGCCCCUGUCGUGGGACUCUGAUGCGGCUGCAGCUGACUUGUACACCCGGCGGGCUCGCGGCAUGGCGUUUGUGGCGCGACUGUGGGCUGCCCUGUCUCUGACUCUCGUUGGCCGUGUGCACAUUGCGAAGCAGGUGCUGGCGGCGAAGCUGGCCUACCACUUCAGCUUCCUCAACCCGUCGCCUGCGCAGCUGAAGGAACUCACCGACCUGGUGGACCACUUUGCUGCGCGCUCCAUGCACGCUGAGGACGCCAGCCUGGUGUCGCACGGGAACCCGCUCCUGCUGCCAAAGCGGGAAACGGCCUGUCUGCCUCAAAAAAAAAACAUAACCUAGGGGGCCUGCACAGGUGAUGCAAGCGUCAGCAGCAAGUUCAACUUCGGUGACCCACCCUGAACCUCCUCCACUUCACAAAGCGCGCCACCCGCCGACCAGAUGGCAACAAAGUGCUCCAGCUUAGCCGCCUUGAGCUGCGCGGUGAGAAGCUGUGUGG
rnacentral:lncRNA from 1 species